UUUAUAGAGGAACACAUAUAC
rnacentral:piRNA from 1 species